rnacentral:rRNA from 1 species
AAGGUCGUGAUCAACUCGGACAGUCUGGAUGUAGUAGAAGCUCUGAGAGAUGGCAAUUCUUCUUCAGUGGCAAGAGCAAUUAUUGAUGAUUGCUAUUUCAUGUCCUCGGAUUUUAAUCUUGUAUCUUAUGGUCAUUGUAAUAGAGAGUGUAAUAAAGUAGCACAUGAACUUUCUAGGCUAGUUAAAUUUUCUCCUCCUUCUGUAUGGAUGAAUUUGGCACCUGCAGAGGUCCUUCCAUUACUUGUAAACGAUGCCACAAUUUUGCUAGAGGAAUAA